GGCGGACGACGAUGAUAAGUCAGGAGUGGUGGAGCUGUAGUUGGUGGAACUCGACUAGGUGGUGGCACUAGAGCUAUAGUUGGUGGAACUGGACUAGGUGGUGGCACUGGAGCUAUAUGCAGGGUCAGGUGCAGGACGUGAAUCAGCUGGGCCUGAUACUGGGGGCGGACGACGAUAAUAAGUCAGGAGCGGUGGAGCUGUAGAAGGUUGAACUCGACUAGGUGGUGGCACUGGAGCUAUAGUUGGUGGAACUGGACUAGGUGGUGGCACUGGAGCUAUAGUUGGUGGAGCUGGACUAGGUGGUGGCACUGGAGCUAUAGUUGGUGGCACUGGAGCUAUAUGUGGUGGAGCUGGAACUGGAACUGGAACUGUAGGCGGUGGAGCUAUGGAGUAAGAUGAAUGGGAGAUAGGGACUGAAUCUCCAAAAGAAGGAACACGUAGCACCUCAGAAAUAUCUAAGUGAUUAACUGGACCUGUGAAGUAUAAUUGAGUUUCAAAGAAGGUAACAUCAGCAUCAUGUCCUACUCCUAAUACAUAUGGGAUUAAGAUUACUUACUACUAUUUAUAUAAUGAA
rnacentral:lncRNA from 1 species